rnacentral:rRNA from 1 species
UACGUAGGGUGCAAGCGUUACUCGGAAUUACUGGGCGUAAAGCGUGCGCAGGCGGUUUUGUAAGUCAGAUGUGAAAUGCCCGGGCUUAACCUGGGAACUGCAUUUGUGACUGCAAGGCUAGAGUUUGGCAGAGGGGGGUAGAAUUCCACGUGUAGCAGUGAAAUGCGUAGAUAUGUGGAGGAAUACCGAUGGCGAAGGCAGCCCCCUGGGUCAAGACUGACGCUCAUGCACGAAAGCGUGGGGAGCAAACAGG